rnacentral:tRNA from 1 species
GGAGAGGUGGCCGAGUGGUUUAAGGCGAUGGUCUUGAAAACCAUUGUACGGUUUUCCGUACCGCAGGUUCGAAUCCUGUCCUCUCCG